rnacentral:lncRNA from 1 species
AGCAGUUCCACCAAAACCCCCAAAUUAGAACCCUAGGUUUGCAAUGUCGGAGAUUUCAAUGUCAGAGAUUUCAACGACAUGAAGUAGGACGAGUCGGUACUGCGCCUGUGGGACGAAGAUAAUUCGUCGGACUUCGUGGACAGAUUUGAACCCAUGAAGAAGGUUCGAUGCUUGUGAUAAAAAUUGGGUAAGUUAUUAUUUGGGUUGCAAAAGUUGUUCUUUUUCAUUUGUAAUUGCUUGAUGAGGUCUGAAAUUGGGUAAGAUUUGAUUUGCCAGAAUAGUAGAAGAGGUGUGCAUUAUUUCGAGUGGGUGGAUAAUGAAACUUGUCCAAGAGGAAAACAAGUGGUCCCUGGUUUGCUUAGAAGACUAAGAGCAAUGGAAGAGGAAGGUAGAGCAAAGGAAGAACAAUUGAGAGCUGUGGAAGCAAAAAAGAAAGAACUACAGCAGAAAUUGAAAGAAAUGGUUCAGGAAAAAAAGGUUUUGGAAUGGGG